GAUGAACGCUGGCGGCGCGCCUAAUACAUGCAAGUCGAGCGAACAGACGAGGAGCUUGCUCCUCUGACGUUAGCGGCGGACGGGUGAGUAACACGUGGAUAACCUACCUAUAAGACUGGGAUAACUUCGGGAAACCGGAGCUAAUACCGGAUAAUAUAUUGAACCGCAUGGUUCAAUAGUGAAAGACGGUUUUGCUGUCACUUAUAGAUGGAUCCGCGCCGCAUUAGCUAGUUGGUAAGGUAACGACUUACCAAGGCAACGAUGCGUAGCCGACCUGAGAGGGUGAUCGGCCACACUGGAACUGAGACACGGUCCAGACUCCUACGGGAGGCAGCAGUAGGGAAUCUUCCGCAAUGGGCGAAAGCCUGACGGAGCAACGCCGCGUGAGUGAUGAAGGUCUUCGGAUCGUAAAACUCUGUUAUUAGGGAAGAACAAAUGUGUAAGUAACUAUGCACGUCUUGACGGUACCUAAUCAGAAAGCCACGGCUAACUACGUG
rnacentral:rRNA from 1 species